UAUUUAGCCCUUGAGCUUCUUCUAGUGCCCAGAAUCCUGCAAGCUGGAAUACAGAGAGAAGAUAAAAGAUGAGAUUUUUGUUUUUUCAUGGUCAUCUUCUGGUAUUUCAAAAUAAACUAGAAAUAAGCAUGUGGAAAGACAGUCUUCUAGAGUUGCUACCUCAGCAUUCCUUCCAUGUCCCCUAACUUGGUUCUCUGCUCACUGAAAGUCUGCUUGGUUGGAGGAGGCGGGGAGAAAAAGGGGGAGGGCAGAAUGGAAAUUGCUAGCUUUUUGCUUUGAUAUUGCCGUACCUCUUGUCUGAACAGACUUCCUGCUGCUACAAGGAAGGAUUUGGAGGUUUUGAGGAGAGAAGAAGCUGACAGGAUAUUUUUCAACUUAAGCAACCUAGCCCCAGUACAUAUGUUGCAGGGCAGGACUGAUCUGGCCCUGCCACUUGAAAUGCACUUUCAGUAGGAGGCCUGUGCUCCAAAAUUGACACAUGGAAACUGAGAUGUGUAGGGACCGAUCUGGAUUUAGGUGUGCUUCUGGGAGUACCCAGAGUUUGAGGCCUGUUUUAAUGGUGUUAUCUGUAUCGGUUGUAGGACUGUUAUGCUGAUGACUAAUAACUGUAUCUGAUUUCUAGAACUGGUUCUUUUCUCCGGUGUGGCUCACUUCCUCUGCCUGGUAGUAGCUGUCUGUCUUGCAUCUGUACCACUGUCACUUGGUAACGCAGUGCCCUCUGCUGGUCCCAGAUCACAUGCUUUCUCAAGAAGCUACCUUCUGUUGAAGCAAACAGGACUCCAUCCAGUCAUGUCCAAAUUGCCUUAUCUGCAAAAUGAUGUCAUAAGAAAUGGAAAGAGAACCCGGAUGUCGCCUGACCGAGCAGAAGUGACCACUACAACCUGAGCACUGACCUAUCAAAAACUGUUCAUGAACACUCAUAAAGCAGAAUACCACCACAAAAUAUCAAUAUGUAGCUUCAAAGCAUGGAAAAAUGCAAUGUGUAUGAGGUCAGCGUAAAGCAGGUAGAAAUCACCCUGUUUAUGAAUAAAGUUACUUACAAUAAAU
ensembl:lncRNA